GUCUGGUGCCAGCAGCCGCGGUAAUUCCAGCUCCAAUAGCGUAUAUUAAAGUUGUUGCAGUUAAAAAGCUCGUAGUUGAACCUUGGGCCUGGUUGGUCGGUCCGCCUCACCGCGUGCACUGGUCCGACCGGGUCUUUCCUUCUGGGGAGCCACAUGCCCUUCACUGGGUGUGUUGGGGAACCAGGACUUUUACUUUGAAAAAAUUAGAGUGUUCAAAGCAGGCCUAUGCUCGAACACAUUAGCAUGGAAUAAUAGAAUAGGACGUGUGGUUCUAUUUUGUUGGUUUCUAGGACCGCCGUAAUGAUUAAUAGGGAUAGUCGGGGGCAUCAGUAUUCAAUUGUCAGAGGUGAAAUUCUUGGAUUUAUUGAAGACUAACUACUGCGAAAGCAUUUGCCAAGAAUGUUUUCAUUAAUCAGUGAACGAAAGUUAGGGGAUCGAAGACGAUCAGAUACCGUCGUAGUCUUAACCAUAAACUAUGCCGACUAGGGAUCGGGCGAUGUUAUCUUUUUGACUCGCUCGGCACCUCACGAGAAAUCAAAGUCUUUGGGUUCUGGGGGGAGUAUGGU
rnacentral:rRNA from 1 species